GGGUAUAGAGCUCAGUGGUAGAGCGAGUGCCUGGCAUGUAUGAGGUACUGGGUCCAAUCUCCAGUACCUCCA
rnacentral:tRNA from 1 species